CUCCCCUCUUUGAAGACAUUAAAUGGAAUUGUCCACAGAAACCCAAAUAUUUUUCUCCCCCAUUUGAAGACAUUAAAUGGUAUUAUUAUUAAUAUAUAUAUAUUAUUAAUAUAUAUACUAUUAAUAUAUAUAUAUUAAUAUAUAUAUAUAAAAACACACAAACUCCCCCCUUUGAAGACAUUAAAUGGUAUUUUCCACAGAAACCCAAAUAUUUUCCCCCCAUUUGAAGACAUUAAAUGGUAUUAUUAUUAAUAUAUAUAUAUUAUUAAUAUAUAUACUAUUAAUAUAUAUAUAUUAAUAUAUAUAUAUAAAAACACACAAACUCCCCUUUGAAGACAUUAAAUGGUAUUUUCCACAGACACCCAAAUAUUUUUCUCCCCCAUUUGAAGACAUUAAAUGGUAUUAUUAUUAAUAUAUAUAUAUUAUUAAUAUAUAUACUAUUAAUAUAUAUAUAUAUAUCAAUAUAUAUAUAUAAAAACACACAAACUUCCCCCUUUGAAGACAUUAAAUGGUAUUGUCCACAGAAACCUAAAUAUUUUUCCCCCCAUUUGAAGACAUUAAAUGGUAUUAUUAUUAAUAUAUAUAUAUUAUUAAUAUAUAUAUUAUUAAUAUAUAUACUAUUAAUAUAUAUAUAUAUAUAAAAACACACAAACUCCCCUCUUUGAAGACAUUAAAUGGAAUUUUCCACAGAAACCCAAAUAUUUUUCUCCCCCAUUUGAAGACAUUAAAUGGUAUUAUUAUUAAUAUAUAUAUAUUAUUAAUAUAUAUACUAUUAAUAUAUAUAUAUUAAUAUAUAUAUAUAUAAACACACAAACUCCCCCCUUUGAAGACAUUAAAUGGUAUUUUCCACAGAAACCCAAAUAUUUUUCUCCCCCAUUUGAAGACAUUAAAUGGAAUUUUCCACAGAAACCCAAAUAUUUUUCUCCCCCAUUUGAAGACAUUAAAUGGUAUUUUCCACCCCAUAAAGAGUUUCUGCCCCAUAAAAUGGCGGCAAAUGUCAGAAUUGGGGGGCAAAUCUUAGAAUUGGGGGGUAAAUGUCGGAAUUUGGGCAGCAAAUGUCAGAAUUCAGGGGGCAAAAUGGGGGAAAUGCAGAAUUUGGGGGGCAAAUGUCAGAAUUUGGGGGGAAAUCUUAGAAUUGGUGGGUAAAUGUCGGAAUUUGGGCAGCAAAUGUCAGAAAUUGGGGGGCAAAACGGGGGCAAAUCUUAGAAUUGGGGGGGCAAAUGUCAGAAUUUGCUGGGAAAUCUCAGAGUUUGGGGGGCAAAACGGGGGGAAAUCUCAGAAUCUGGGUGGCAAAUGUAAGAAUUUGUGGGGAAAUCUCAGAAUUUGGGGGCAAAUCUUAGAAUUGGGGGGGUAAAUGUCAGAAUUUGGGGGGAAAUCUCAGGAUUUGGGGGGCAAAACGGGGGGAAAUCUCAGAAUCUGGGUGGCAAAUCUCAGAAUUUGGGGGGAAAUCUCAGGAUUUGGGGGGCAAAACGGGGGGAAAUCUCAGAAUCUGGGUGGCAAACCUCAGAAUUUGCUGGGAAAUCUCAGAAUUUGGGGGGGGAAACGGGGGGAAAUCUCAGAAUUUGGGCGGCAAAUGUCAGAAUUUGCUGGGAAAUCUCAGAAUUUGGGGGGGGGAAACGGGGGGAAAUCUCAGAAUUUGGGCGGCAAAUCUCAAAAUUUGGGGGCAAAUCUCAGAAUUUGGGGGGGAAACGGGGGGAAAUCUCAGAAUUUGGGCGGCAAAUGUCAGAAUUUGGGGGGAAAUCUCAGGAUUUGGGGGGCAAAUCUCAGAAUUUGCUGGGAAUACUCAGAAUUUGGGCAGCAAAUGUCAGAAUUCAGGGGGCAAACGGCAGAAUUUGGGGGGAAAUCUCAGAAUUUGGGCGGCAAAUCUCAGAAUUUGGGGGGGGACGGGGGGAAAUCUCAGAAUCUGGGUGGCAAAUCUCAGAAUUUGGGGGGAAAUCUCAGAAUUUGGGGGCAAAUCUCAGAAUUUGCUGGGAAUACUCAGAAUUUGGGCGGCAAAUGUCAGAAUUCAGGGGGCAAACGGCAGAAUUUGGGGGGAAAUCUCAGAAUUUGGGCGGCAAAUCUCAGAAUUUGGGGGGCGAAACGGGGGGAAAUCUCAGAAUCUGGGUGGCAAAUCUCAGAAUUUGCUGGGAAAUCUCAGAAUUUGGGGGGCAAAUCUCAGAAUUUGCUGGGAAAUCUCAGAAUCUGGGAGGCGAAACGGGGCAAAACCUCAGAAUCUGGGUGGGAAAUCUCAGAAUAUGGGCUGUUUUGGGGGAGUCAAUGGGGGGUCCGCCCCCCAAAAGAGGCAACACUGCGCAGCAAGAGAGGUAGAUGGCGAGGGUAGAUGGCGGCGGGUUCGAGUCGUGCUUCCGACGUGCGCAGAAGUCCUCGGUCCCGGGUUCGAGUCACGCUCUUCCAAAGGGUGCCGAAGUCCUCAGCAGUCGCGGGUUCAAGUCCAUGGAUGCCUGAAGUCCUCGGCGGCGGCGGGUUCGAGUCUUGCGCACUGACAACAGGCGCACGAAGUCCUCGGCGGCGGCGGGUUCGAGUCUUGCGCACUCACAACAGGCGCAUGAAGUCCUCGGCAGCGGCGGGUUCGAGUCUUGCGCACUCACAACAGGCGCACGAAGUCCUCGGCGGCGGCGGGUUCAAGUCGCAGGCUUCCAACGGGCGCAAGAAGCCCUCGGUCCCGGGUUCGAGUCAUGCGCUUCCAACAGGCGCAUGAAGUCCUCGGCAGUGCUGGGUUCGAAUCACGCACUGGCAACAGGCACAUGAAGUCCUCUGGGGUGACGGGUUCGAGUUGCGCGCUCCCAUCAAGCCGGUCCUGGGUUCGAGUCAUGCGCUUCCAACUGGCGCAUGAAGUCCUUGGCAGCGGUGGGUUGAGGGUUCGAGUGACGCGCUUCCAACUGGCGCAUGAAGUCCUUGGCAGUGGUGGGUUGCGGGUUCGAGUGAUGCGCUUCCAACUGGCGCAUUAAGUCCUCGGCAGUGCUGGGUUCGAAUCAUGCACUGGCAACAGGCCCAUGAAGUCCUCUGGGGUGACGGGUUCGAGUUGCGCGUUCCCAUCAAGUCGGUCCCGGGUUCGAGUCAUGCGCUUCCGAAGGGCGCACAAAGUCCUGGGCAGUGGUGGGCGAUGGGUUCAAGUCAUGCGCUUCCAAGGGGCGCAUUAAGUCCUGGUGGUUGUGAGUUCGAGUCGCUGGCAGGGAUGGGUUCAAGUUGUGUGCUUGGCACAUGAUGCGCACCUUCAGUUCUCUGCAGUGCUAGGUGCCGGGUUCAAGUCACGCGCUCCCAACCCGUGCAUGAAGCCCUGGUCAUGGGUUCGAGUGGCGCGCUCCCAACAGGCCCAUCAAGUCCCGGCCAUGGGUUCAAGUCCUGUGCUUCCGAUUGGCGCAUAAGUGGGUGGUGGGUUCGAGUCAUGGGCUUGCAAGAGGCCCCUGAAGUCCUGGCUGUGGGUUCGAGACAUGCGCUCCCAACAGGCCCAUUAAGUCCUGGCUGUGGGUUCGAGUCAUGCGCUUGCAAGAGGCCCCUGAAGUCCUGGUUGUGGGUUCGAGACAUGCGCUCCCAACAGGCCCAUUAAGUCCUGGCUGUGGGUUCGAGUCAUGAGCUUGCAAGAGGCCCCUGAAGCCCUGGCUGUGGGUUCGAGUCAUGCGCUCCCAACAGGCCCAUGAAGUCCUCUGCAGUGCGCUGGGUUCAAAUCGCGCCUUUCCAACAGGCCCAUUAAAUCCCCGGCCGUGGGUUCGAAUCAUGCGCUCCCAACAGGCCCAUGAAGUCCCGGCCGUGGGUUCAAGUCCUGCGCUUCCGAUUGGUGUGGGUUCGACUCAUGCGCUCCCAACAGGCCCAUUAAAUCUGCAGUGCUGGGCGACGGGUUCAAGUCGCGCACUUCCGACAGUCGCAUUGCAGUGCCAGGUGCCGGGUUCAAAUCGCACCCUUCCCUGGCCAGGGGUUCGAGUCACACCUUUCCCAAGGGCGCAUAAGUCCUCGCUUCUGGGUUCAAAUGGCGCGCUCCCAACAGGCCCCUUCAAUCCUGGGUUGCGGGUUCAAGUCAUGCGCUUCCGACAGGCCCACGAAGUCCUCAGCCGCGGUGGGUUGUGGGUUCGAGUGAUGAGCACAUUCAAUCCCGGCCCUGGGUUCGAGUCAUGCGCUUCCAAGGAGCACAUUCAGCCCUUGGUUCUGGGUUCGAGUCAUGUGCUUCCAAGUGGCGCAUUAAAUCCUGGCCAUGGGUUCAAGUCAUGCGCUCCCAACAGCCACAUUAAAUCCCCGGUCGUGGGUUCGAGUCAUGCGCUUGCAACAGGCACAUGAUGCGCUCUCAACAGGCCCAUUAAGUCCUCAGCAGUGGCAGGUCGCGGGUUCAAGUCAUGCGCUUCCAACAGGCACAUGAUGCGCUCUCAACAGGCCCAUUAAGUCCUCAGCAGUGGCAGGUGGUGGGUUCGAGUCAUGCGCUUCCAACAGGCACAUGAUGCGCUCUCAACAGGCCCAUUCAGUCCUCAGCAGUGGCAGGUCGCGGGUUCAAGUCAUGCGCUCCCAACAGCCACAUUCAAUCCCCGGUUGUGGCUUUGAAUCAUGCGCUUCCCAAAUGCGCAUCAAGUCCCGGCCACGGGUUCAAGUCACGCGCUUCCAAGUGGCGCAUGAAAUCCCCGGUCGCGGGUUCGAAUCAUGCGCUCAAUCGCAUCAUGUUCAAGUGGCGCAUUUCCGACAGCCCCAUUCAAUCCUCGGUUGCGGGUUCAAGUCAUGCGCUUCCGGCAGGCCCAUUCAAUCCCAGUCGUGGGUUCGACUCAUGCGCUUCGAACAGCCCCAUCAAAUCCCCGGUCCCGGGUUCAAGUCAUGCGCUCUCAACAGCCACAUUCAAUCCUCGGUCCCGGGUUCGAGUCAUGCGCUCCCAACAGCCACAUUAAAUCCUCGGUCCUGGGUUCGAGUCAUGCGCUCCCAAAAGCCACAUUAAAUCCUCGGUCAUGGGUUCGAGUUAUGCGCUCCCAACAGCCACAUUUAAUCCACGGUCAUGGGUUCGACUCAUGCGCUCCCAACAGCCCCAUCAAAUCCCCAGUCCUGGGUUCGAGUCAUGCACUCCCAACAGCCACAUUAAAUCCUCGGUCAUGGGUUCGAGUCAUGCGCUCCCAACAGCCACAUUAAAUCCUCGGUCAUGGGUUCGAGUGAUGCGCUUCCAACAUGCCCAUUAAGUCCUUGGCAGUGCUGGCCCAUUAAGUCCUCUGCGGUGGCAGGUCAUGGGUUCGAGUCAUGCGCUUCCAACAGGCAAAUGAUGCGCAUAAGUCCAACAGGCGCAUAAGUCCUCAGCGGCGGUGGGUUGCGGGUUCGAGUCAUGCGCUCCCAACAGGCCCAUCAAGUCCUCUGCAGUGCUGGGUGAUGGGUUCAAAUCAUGCGCUUCCAACAGGCACAUGAUGCACUCUCAACAGGCGCAUAAGUCCUCAGCGGCGGUGGGUUGUGGGUUCGAGUCAUGCGCUCCCAACAGGCCCAUCAAGUCCUCUGCAGUGCUGGGUGCUGGGUUCGAGUCAUGCGCUUCCAACAGGCACAUGAUGCGCAUAAGUCCAACAGGCGCAUAAGUCCUCAGCGGCGGUGGGUUGUGGGUUCGAGUGAUGCGCUCCCAACAGGCCCAUUAAGUCCUUUGCGGUGGCAGGUCAUGGGUUCGAGUCAUGCGCUCCCAACAGGCAAAUGAUGCGCAUAAGUCCAACAGGCGCAUAAGUCCUCAGCGGCGGUCGGUUGUGGGUUCGAGUGAUGCGCUCUCAACAGGCCCAUCAAGUCCUCUGCAGUGCUGGGUGAUGGGUUCAAAUCAUGCGCUUCCAACAGGCACAUGACGCACUCUCAACAGGCGCAUAAGUCCUCAGCGGCGGUGGGUUGUGGGUUCGAGUCAUGCGCUCCCAACAGGCCCAUCAAGUCCUCUGCAGUGCUGGGUGCUGGGUUCAAGUCAUGCGCUCCCAACACGCCCAUCAAGUCCCGGCCAUGGGUUCAAGUUGCACAUUUCCCCGGUCAUGGGUUCGACUCAUGCGCUCCCCACAAGCCCAUCAAGUCCUCUCCAGUGCUGGGCGACGGGUUCAAAUCAUGCGCUUCCGACAAGCCAUGGGUUCAAGUCGCACAUGUCCUCGGUUGUGGGUUCGAGUCACACGCUUCCAAGGAGCACAGUAAGUCCUGGGUUCAAGUUGCGCGCUCUCAGCAGCCCCAUUCAAUCCCAGCCGUGGGUUCGACUCAUGCGCUCCCAACAAGCCCAUCAAGUCCCGGCCAGGGGUUCGAGUCAUGCGCUCCCAACCGCCCCAUCAAGUCCUCUGCAGCGGGUUCAAGUCAUGCGCAUUGGCCACGGGUUCAAAUCGCACCCUUCCAACGGGCGCACAAGUCCUCGGUCCUGGGUUCAAGUUGCUCAUUCCCAACAGCCCCAUUCAAUCCCCGGUCAUGGGUUCGAGUCAUGCGCUUCCAACAGGCACAUGAUGCGCCCUCAGCAGGCCCAUUAAGUCCUCAGCAGUGGCAGGUGGUGGGUUCAAAUCGUGCGCUCCCAACAUUCCCAUUAAAUCCCAGGUUGCGGGUUCGAAUGGUGCGCUCCCAACAGACCCAUAGAGUCCUGGCUACGGGUUCAAACUGCGCACUCCCAACAGCCCCAUCAAAUCCCCAGUCGUGGGUUCGACUCAUGCGCUCCCAACAGGCUUCACGUUGCACAUUUAAGUCCUGGCUACGGGUUCAAGUCGCACAUUCCGUCCUUGGUUGGGGGUUCAAGUCAUGCGCUCCCAACACGCCCAUUAAGUCCUGGCCAUGGGCUCAAAUCGCACCCUCCCAACAGGCACAUAAGUCCUCACCGGUAGUGGGUUCAAGUUAUGCGCUUCCAACGCAUGGGUUCAAAUUGCGCACUCCCAUUCAGUCCCAGUUGCGGGUUCAAAUCGCACAUUCCCAACAUUCAAUCCCAGUUGCCAUGCGCUUCCAAGUGGCGCAUAAGCCCUCGGUUGGGGGUUCAAGCCAUGCGCUUUGGCCACGGGUUCAAAUCGCACCCUUCCAACGGGCGCACAAGUCCUCGGUCCCGGGUUCAAGUUGCUCCAUUCAAUCCCCAGUCAUGCGCUCCCAACAGGCUUCAC
rnacentral:lncRNA from 1 species